rnacentral:rRNA from 1 species
GAUGAACGCUGGCGGCGUGCCUAACACAUGCAAGUCGAACGGAGUUAUUAUCAUGAAGUUUUCGGAUGGAAUGGUAAUAACUUAGUGGCGGACGGGUGAGUAACGCGUGGGUAACCUGCCUCAUACAGGGGGAUAACAGCCGGAAACGGCUGCUAAAAUCGCAUAACAUUGCGACACCGCAUGGUGAUGCAAUUAAAUAUUUAUAGGUAUGAGAUGGGCCCGCGUCUGAUUAGCUAGUUGGUAGGGUAAAGGCCUACCAAGGCGACGAUCAGUAGCCGGCUUGAGAGAGUGACCGGCCACAUUGGGACUGAGACACGGCCCAAACUCCUACGGGAGGCAGCAGUGGGGAAUAUUGCACAAUGGGGGAAACCCUGAUGCAGCGACGCCGCGUGAGUGAAGAAGUAUUUCGGUAUGUAAAGCUCUAUCAGCAGGGAAGAAAAUGACGGUACCUGACUAAGAAGCCCCGGCUAACUACGUG